AGCAGCCGCGGUAAUUCCAGCUCCAAUAGCGUAUAUUAAAGUUGUUGCAGUUAAAAAGCUCGUAGUUGAAUUUCGGGGUUUAUCCGUCGGUCGGGCUUUUGGGUCUGUACUGGCGUGAUGGAUUCCUACCUUCUGAAUAACCGGCAUGUCAUUAAUUUGGUGCGCCGGGGAAGCAGGACUGUUACCUUGAAAAAAUUAGAGUGCUUAAAGCAGGCUUAUGCCUGAAUACAUUAGCAUGGAAUAAUGAAAUAGGACGGCAUGGUUCUAUUUUGUUGGUUUCUAGGAUCACCGUAAUGAUUAAUAGGGAUAGUUGGGGGCAUUAGUAUUCAAUUGUCAGAGGUGAAAUUCUUGGAUUUAUUGAAGACUAACUUCUGCGAAAGCAUUUGCCAAGGAUGUUUUCAUUAAUCAAGAACGAAAGUUAGGGGAUCGAAGACGAUCAGAUACCGUCGU
rnacentral:rRNA from 1 species